CUCUGUGACAGUGAACAUGAAAGAUCCCACGCAGAGAGACCCUUACUCAAGUCUUGGGAAAUCGCGGACCCCAGACACAGAGAGACCA
rnacentral:pre_miRNA from 14 species